rnacentral:misc_RNA from 1 species
AAGUCGUAACAAGGUUUCCGUAGGUGAACCUGCGGAAGGAUCAUUAAUGAAAGACUAUUUUUUUAGUUCUUCAUACCCCAUUGUUUACUUACCCUGUUGCUUCCACGUUGCCAGGCCCUCUGGGCCCUCUAGCCAAAAGCUGGGGAGUUUGCUCGUGGUAAGACCCUAUAACAAAAAACUUGAUAAAACACAAAUGUCUGAUAUCUUCAUUAAAAAUGAAAUAAAACUUUCAACAACGGAUCUCUAGGCUCUU